rnacentral:rRNA from 1 species
AGGGGCAGCAUAAAUUACUUGUAAUUUGAUGGCGACCGGCGAACGGGUGCGUAACGCGUAUGCAACUUACCUUUUACUAGAGAAUAGCCAAGAGAAAUUUUGAUUAAUGCUCUAUACACUUAUUAAUUCUCAUGAAUCUAUAAGAAAAGCUCCGGCGGUAAAAGAUGGGCAUGCGUCCUAUUAGCUUGUAGGUGAGGUAACGGCUCACCUAAGCUCCGAUAGGUAGGGGUCCUGAGAGGGAGAUCCCCCACACUGGUACUGAGACACGGACCAGACUUCUACGGAAGGCAGCAGUAAGGAAUAUUGGACAAUGGAGGCAACUCUGAUCCAGCCAUGCCGCGUGAAGGAAGACGGCCUUAUGGGUUGUAAACUUCUUUUAUACAGGAAGAAACCUUUCCACGUGUGGAAAGCUGACGGUACUGUAAGAAUAAGGAUCGGCUAACUCCGUGCCAGCAGCCGCGGUAAUACGGAGGAUCCAAGCGUUAUCCGGAAUUAUUGGGUUUAAAGGGUCCG